rnacentral:rRNA from 1 species
UACGAAGGGUGCUAGCGUUGUUCGGAAUCACUGGGCGUAAAGCGUGCGUAGGCGGCUAUCCAAGUCAGAGGUGAAAUCCCAGGGCUUAACCCUGGAACUGCCUUUGAAACUGGAUGGCUGGAGUGUCGGAGGGGAUAGCGGAAUUUCUAAUGUAGCGGUGAAAUGCGUAGAUAUUAGAAGGAACACCGGCGGCGAAGGCGGCUAUCUGGACGACAACUGACGCUGAGGCACGAAAGCGUGGGGAUCAAACAGG